rnacentral:lncRNA from 1 species
GCAGAUCAAAAUCUCUCCUCCCCCUUCCUGGUACGGCUCUCACUGUAGGACAGUGUACUGAGAGAAGGAAUGGCUCCUGCCAGCUUCUAGGGAAACUGCACACACAGGGCACCAAGCCCGCAGUGGAAUAUGCCACACCCAGGAUAGCAGUCAACCUCUGCUUGCUUCUGCAGACUCAGACUCGGCAGAUAGACUUCUGAUUUGGUGACAUUUUCCUGCUUGUUUGUUUGUUUGUUUUUUGUUUUUUCCCUGAUUAGCUAAUGCUGUCUAGACACCAAUAAAUAUGCCUUUCUACGAUGCUUAUAUUUCCUGAUGUAGCGUAUCUAUCCCUGAGCAAACACCCACAGGGUACCAAGACACUGGGUAGCCAUGCUGCCCCAGCAACAAAAUCUCUGCUUCAUGUCUAGUUUCACAGGAGCAGUGAUGAACCUGCAGAAUUAACACAUCUACCUGAAAUGCCCUGCCUUGCUCUGGGAUCUGGGCAUGAAGAUACGGUCCCACAGAGAACGUGCAUGGAUCCCAUUGUAAAAUACACAGAGGAGGGGAAGGCAGAGGAGGGAUCAACGUCUCCACUGCAAUGUUGUCAGGACUAUAGUGACAACAUGAGGCUCGAUGACAGUCUCUGCCCUGUGCCAGUCACUUCUAGGGAAAGAGUCAACAGUGCUCAUUAAAGUAAAAAUUAAAAAAAAUAAUAGUAAAUAAUAAAAAUAGUCAACAGUGUUUCUUAAAAUCAAAACAAAACAAAAUAUAGUAAAAAAGAUAAAAACAAAAAUAAUUAGUAAAAUAAAAAUAAAUAAAAU